AACGAACGCUGGCGGCAGGCCUAACACAUGCAAGUCGAACGCUCGUAGCAAUACGAGAGUGGCAGACGGGUGAGUAACACGUGGGAACCUUCCCUAUGGUUCGGAAUAGCUCAGGGAAACUUGAGGUAAUACCGGAUAAGCCCUUACGGGGAAAGAUUUAUCGCCAUUGGAUGGGCCCGCGUCGGAUUAGCUAGUUGGUGAGGUAACGGCUCACCAAGGCGACGAUCCGUAGCUGGCUGAGAGGAUGAUCAGCCACACUGGGACUGAGACACGGCCCAGACUCCUACGGGAGGCAGCAGUGGGGAAUAUUGGACAAUGGGCGCAAGCCUGAUCCAGCCAUGCCGCGUGAGUGACGAAGGCCUUAGGGUUGUAAAGC
rnacentral:rRNA from 1 species